AUCCCGCGCAUGGGGAGCUUGCGCGAGCAGGCUGAGAGGGGGCUUUUCGCGUCCCGACCCGUGGAACCUGUUGGAUAAUGCCAUCGAAGGGAGAACCAUGGCCAUAGAG
rnacentral:ncRNA from 1 species